UACGGAGGGUGCGAGCGUUGUCCGGAAUCACUGGGCGUAAAGGGCGCGUAGGCGGCGCGGUAAGCGUGCGGUGAAAGCCCGGGGCUCAACCCCGGGUCGGCCGUGCGGACUGCCGGGCUCGAGCACUGUAGAGGCGGGUGGAAUUCCGGGUGUAGCGGUGGAAUGCGUAGAGAUCCGGCGGAACACCGGUGGUGAAGACGGUCUCCUGGGCCGAGAGCCGACGCUGAGGCGCGAGAGCGUGGGGAGCGAACCGG
rnacentral:rRNA from 1 species